UUGAUGGUUUUUUCCUUUCCCUGCAGGACCAUGCACACAAGGAAAAAGCACCCCAGGAGGUGCCCUCCACUGCUGAGUGGCAGAUGAUCACAACCAGAACCAAGGCUGCUCGCAGCAAAGCAGUACCAGUUCCUCCAGUCUGGCUGGAGAACAGGUAUGAGGCCCUGGCAACACUGCAGGAGAAGGAAGGAGAGGAGGAAACCUCCAGAGAGGAGGCAACUCCACUCUCUUCAUGCUCCAAACAGGCUGAAGGAGUCAAGCAGACCCGGAGGAGGAAACACCGAGUGAUCAUCAUAGGCGACUCCAUCCUGAGAGGUACAGAGGGCCCCAUCUGUCGCCAGGACUCCUCAACAUGCGAGGUCUACUGCCUCCCUGGAGCAAAGAUUCAGGACAUGACGGGGAUGAUCCAGGCCAUGAUCCAGCCCACCGAUUACUACCCCAUGGUCCUAAUCCAUGUGGGUACUAAUGAUGAGACCAGGAGAAGACCUGAUCACCUGAUGACAGACUACCAUGCUCCGGGGGGUGUGCUGAGGGAGAUGGGAGCAUAGGUGGUAUUCUCCUCUGUCCUACCAGUGAGCAGACAUGAAAGACAACAUGAGGCCUGUAUCAGAGAGACCAAUUGGUGGCUUCGGGAAUGGUGUCUUGAGGUUGGCAGAUCUCCUCCAGUGUGCUUUAAACUAGGCUCAUUGGGGGACAGGGAAGAUGAGGGAGGAGGAAGCCUUGGACCACCAAACCAAGUGACACCCACAAGAACAGCCCAGCCUGGACCAACGACAAGCAGAAUGAAUACCCAGGAAAAAAAAUGUCCACUGAAAAUGAAGAAUACACAACUUGCUCUUUCAUCUGAGAGGUAAAGAUGAACUCUGCCUUCCCUUCAUGAAAUGUCCUGACUCCACGUUUCAAGGAAAUCAGCCUUGCUUCCUAGCUUUUACCCUGAAAGUAUCAUAGUGCCAUUUUUCUUCCAGCAUUACAAUCAUCUAUUACUGUGUAAUAUCUGCAGCAUAUGGCUAGUAUUGCCCAUUAGCAAGCAAUACAACAGGAGGUACCUCAUCUAUCCAGAUGACACCUGUUUGUCUCUGUUUCAGGCAUGCAGAUCUCAUCUUCUGUAAUGACAUUCUGAUCUUGUAAAUACAUGCUGAAAGUUAAGUGCACACAUGAGUAAGUUGCCUUAUUGCGCCUACUUAAGCAAGCAAGUAAGUACUUCUUGGGAUAAAGCCUCAGUUCUUAAAUUUAUUAUAUGAAAUAUUUUUGCCUUAUAUAUAGGCAGUAGUGGUUGUUUAUAAACCUCUAGUCUAGGAUUACAAGCCAAUAUUUAGCUGGGCUCCUUGGAUCCAGUGCAUUAAAAUAAAACUGGUUCCACUUUACAAAUUUUCAUAUUUAGGUAAAAUAGAUUAUAGUAAUUAAUUUAUAUAUUUUAUAAUUUAUAUUAAAGCAUUGUUGAGUGCUGCCAUGCUUCAUAAUAACAUUAAGUACAUGAAGUUUGCAUGUAUUACACUAGAGAUGAGCCAACAUUUUAACCCUCACAUCCAAACCCCCUUACAGGUCAAGUGAGGAAGUGAUUUUUUUAAUAUCAGAAUCUCUAGCUCCAAAUCCACCUCUAGUGUUAUUAUUCUGAACCAGAUCCAAGACUGAAAGGAUACUGCUUUCCAGUUCAGUUGCCACUGAAAUUCUCAGGAGAUGUCAUGGGGAUGGAAUUGCAAAAGAAGAAUUGUAUUUCACAAUAUUCCUGCCAGCUGGGGCUUAAAUCUCAUGAAAACAACUCAGAUGAUUUUGGCACUGUUGACUGCAAACCCAGAACCAGAUCAGGAUCUCCCUAUCUCUUCAUAACACAAUAAUAUGCCUUAAAUUUUCUCCCCAAUUUCCUUAUUAGCCAAUUCAUUUAUUUCCUAGUACUUCUGGUUAUGUUACUCAUUGCUGUUUACAGAAUCAAUUUUGGAUAGUCACCUGUAGACCUAAUGCCAGAGGCCUAAAUGCUCUACAGCUCUUGCUUCUGGUGUGAUUAGUUUAGGCACCAUCCAGGUUACAGCAGUUGUCCUCACUGGGAAAGGACCCUAUUAUCUGCAUUUUUACCCUUUCCAAGUUUAUGGGAAAAUGAAAAGAAUUAAAAGGCGGGGAGGGGAUUAGGGGGAAGAGGACAAGCAACAAGACAAGUAGUCCCAGCUGAGCUGUCAGCCUCAUUUUUUUCCUGGGGCCUUGGACAACAUAUAGUCUGACUGAACAUAUGCUUGAUAGUCAUCAGCAAGCUCUCCAAAAGCAAUCUGCCAUCCAAGGAGAUCAAACAGUCUAUAACAGUGGGAACAAGUUCUGUCCUAUGUCAGGACUGUGCCAGGAGCCUAAGGACUACAGGUCUGUGCUGCUCCUUGAACAGCUCCCUUCUAAACUGAGAGCUUCUCCUUUUACAAGCCUUUCUCCAGCUCUGAUGUAUCAUAUAGGUGAAGCAGAGUGGCGUGAAGACACUCACACAUAUAACAGACAGUCACUCACCCCUUCCAGACUGGUGUAGUGUUUACACAUCCCAUCAAGAACAGAUACAUGGCUUCACUUGUCUAUGUUACCCUAAUAUCAGCAGCCUAAGAACUGGAACUGGGAAACAGAGUAAGGGCCAAAUGUUACCUUCUUAAGAGGAAGAUGUUAGCAGCUUCAUAGGAAGCAAAAGGAGUUAAAAACUGAUGGAGGAAAAAAGAGAAAAAUGGUGCUAGAAGGCAAUUCUACCGCCUCAAAAACUAUGUAAGACUGUCACUCUCAUCAUGUUAAUCUAUGUUCAAGAGCACAGGGAUAGGACCUAUCCGUCUGACUCUUCUAGCUCAGCUUGCAAGAGCUCUUCAUUCCUGCACCUCUGCUCCAGUAUUCUAGGAUUCACUGUCUGAAAUGGCCGUGUCACACCUCCUUCCUCCCACUUUUCAAAUAUCAUUUAAAAAACUAUUUAGCCAUGAUUCUGCUUAGUUACCCUAGUUUGUUCCCAUUAUCUCUAAUGAACUAUUUUUGCUGUGCUCUGGGCUAUAUGCACAGGAAGUGAUCUGUAGGAAUAAGAUAUAUUGUUAAGAUCACAAAACAGCCUAAUUCUUAAUUAGCCAAUUUCUGAUAUAAAUGUUAACGAAUCCAUCUAUACACUGAAUAACAGGCAGGAGUUUUCAUAGGGAAAGAGGCAUCUGUUGACACAAAAGAAACAAGCUACAUCCAUAACAGGCAUGAUGUAAAACAGGGCUUGUUUGGAGCAUUCUCAGCCUAACAGUAGCCUAUGGUGCUAUUUAUUCCGGUUAUGCCCUUAUUGUUCCUAGACCCAUGCCUGAUUUUAUUCUAUUGUAAACUUAUUCCAAUAGCUUGAUGUUAUUUUUCUGUUCUGCUUAUGAUGGUUGUCUUGCUAUUAUCAUUUUCAGUGUUACUUAAAAUGCUUUUAUUACUAGUCUGUAGCUGUAGUGGUUCAGGCUGAAGGAAGCUUCCUAUUGCAAUUUUCUAAGACACUCUCCCCCACACUUAUUUGCCUAAAAUUUCAUAUGCAGAGUUUUAGCCCAGCAUACAAAAUGUAAUAGAAAUAUGAUAAUGCUGUUUGGAGCUAUGGAGAUUCAAAACCAUUGGUAUAGCCUUUAUUUCUGCAUUUUCCUAAUGCUGAGCUUGUCAUAGUUCCAACACAGCUCAGGUAGGAUAUGCCAAAUGUCUUCCAAUCUAUUGGCCAUCUUGUUGAAUUGUGCCUUGGGAUGCAAGCUGGAAUUAUUUAUAUCAGGCAUGGACAUCCAGUGGCACAUGUGCCACAAGUGCCUGGGUAGCAUCUGGGUGACACAGCAGAUGCAGAAGGGAACAGUCGCCCGCACAGCAACAGAUAGGGCAGGAAGCAAACAGCUGAACAGAAGAAAAGGCAUAGGAAAGGGAUCAGAGUGGCAGUCAGGCAGGGUUCAGGGCUAAUCAGUGGCAUGCCUGCCAAAAAAAGAUUGCCCCCCACUGCAUUAGAUAUUGACAGAUUUAAAAAAAAAAUCUUAGGAUCUGCCUCAUACAUUGUUAGAAUUGUGAAUAGAAGGUAAGUCACACAGAGAGCUCCUAAGGUGGCCAUGGUCCAAUGCAAGACUUGGCAAAUUUGCAUCCAAUUUUUCACAGACAAGACUUUGACACUUUUCUGCUGCCCAGUAAAACACCUGGUCAUCAAGAUAAGGAAUUAGCAAAGACUGUACUGUGCUGAUAAUGCCCACAAUUGGAGAAAUGAGUCAAGAGUAUCCUGAGCUCAGCCCAUUUCUGUCACUGAAUGACCAUAAUAAUACAUUGCAAGUGCAGUUUACUUAUGCCUUCCAAAACCUCUUUAUAGUCUAUUUUGUGUCUUCCAAAACCUCAUGAGAGAAACAAAAAUACUUUGUUUAAAGGUGAAGCAAUUGCAUCACAAAGAGGUUAGGAUUCAUAGAUGUUAGGGUCGGAAGGGACCUCAAUAGAUCAUCAAGUCCGACCCCCUGCAUAAGCAGGAAAGAGUGCUGGGUCUAGAUGACCCCAGCUAGAUACUCAUCUAACCUCCUCUUGAAGACCCCCAGGGUAGGGGAGAGCACCACCUCCCUUGGGAGCCCAUUCCAGACCCUGGCCACUUUAACUGUGAAGAAGUUCUUCCUAAUGUCCAAUCUAAAAUCCAAUCUUAAUUACUAUGGUUAAAGCCAUAGUAAUUAAGAGCAGCCAUCUGAUUUUAGGUGACCUCAUUUGCACACUGAACUUGAGACAACUUUUGUUUAAUUUUCAAUGGUGCUAUUGACUUCUCAAAGGCUUAGAUUAAGAUUAACCAAGUCAACCACACUUUGCUAAGCCAAAAAUUUCAAAAACAUUGGAGUGACUCAUAUUAGUGCACAAGUUAGUCCAUGUCAGGAAAAAAAUAGAAUACCACAUUCCCGGCUACUAAAUAGAUACCUAAUUUGCUAGAAGAUGGUGUUUCCAGAGAAAUUAAGUGCCAUCACUGUGUCCUAUUUUACCUGUUUCAUUUUUCCUUGGUUUGUACUGACAAGAUGUGCGAGGGAGGGGGAGAAGAGGUGUAGAAGGGUGACCAAUAAGCUGUAUGGUGAUUAUUAUAUUCAGCUAGAAGGAAACCAGUGUAUUAUCUAUACAUAUGCUUUUAAAUGUCAUGUUUUUCAUUUCUUUAAGCACCUAGAGUGUUGGAUAUAUUCUACAAGAAUAAAUAAACAAUAGAAUAUAUUUUAGACACUUUUAGUAUUAUUGUGCUGACAACCAUAAACUUUAUUCAAAGCCUUUUAAGGGCAAUAGAAAGUCAACCAUUGAUAUUAAUCAGCUUUGGAGUAGGCUCCAACUUAUUUGGAUGGAUGAAAACAUAGUGACACCCAGUGCUAAGCCUUUGUUGCUCAGAUAUAUUCAUAAAAAUACUUUGAAUAGACAAAAGAUAAUCUUUUAAGGGAGAGUCUUCUGGAAAAAGACUAGAGUUGUGUCCUCAGUAGGAAUCUGAAAAUAAAAUUUAAGACAGUAAUAAAUGGAAUCUUGUACCUUUGAA